rnacentral:rRNA from 1 species
CACGGGGGUUGCGAGCGUUGUCCGGAAUUACUAGGCGUAAAGGGCAGGCAGGCGGAUCCAUAAGUUUAUCGUUUAAGGCGUCGGCUUAACCGGCGUAGGGCGGUAGAUACUGUGGAUCUGGAAUGCGGUUGGGGAAGACAGAAUUCCUGGUGUAGCGGUGGAAUGCGCAGAGAUCAGGAGGAAUACCGAAGGCGAAGGCAGUCUUCCAAGCCGUUAUUGACGCUCAACUGCGAAGGUGUAGGUAUCAAACAGGAUUAGAUACCCCGGUAGUCCCUGAGCGGG